GAUGAACGCUGGCGGCGUGCCUAAUACAUGCAAGUCGAGCGAACAGACGAUGAGCUUGCUCCUCUGACGUUAGCGGCGGACGGGUGAGUAACACGUAGAUAACCUACCUAUAAGACUGGGAUAACUUCGGGAAACCGGAGCUAAUACUAGAGAAUAUAUUGAACCGCAUGGUUCAAUAGUGAAAGACGGUUUUGCUGUCACUUAUAGAUGGAUCCGCGCCGCAUUAGCUAGUUGGUAAGGUAACGGCUUACCAAGGCGACGAUGCGUAGCCGACCUGAGAGGAUGAUCAGCCACACUGGAACUGAGACACGGUCCAGACUCCUACGGGAGGCAGCAGUAGGGAAUAUUGCGCAAUGGGCGCAAGCCUGACGGAGCAACGCCGCGUGAGUGAUGAAGGUCUUCGGAUUGUAAAACUCUGUUAUUAGGGAAGAACAGAUGUGUAAGUAACUAUGCACGUCUUGACGGUACCUAAUCAGAAAGCCACGGCUAACUACGUG
rnacentral:rRNA from 1 species